CUCAGUUCAGAUCGUAGGCCGCAACUCGCCUACGUGAAGGAGGAAUCGCUAGUAAUCGCAGGUCAGCAUACUGCGGUGAAUACGUUCCCGGGCCUUGUACACACCGCCCGUCACACCAUGGAAGUUGGCCACGCCCGAAGCCGUUACUCCAACCCUUGUGGAGGAGGACGUCGAAGGUGGGGCUGAUGACUGGGGUGAAGUCGUAACAAGGUAGCCGUACCGGAAGGUGCGGCUGGAUCACCUCCUAA
rnacentral:rRNA from 1 species